AUAAAAACUGAGCCAGGCAUGGUGGCACACUCCUGUAGUCCCAACUACUCAGGAGGGUGAGGCAGGAGGAAUAUUUGAGCCCAGGAGAUUGAGGCCGCAGUGAGCACUAUCCUCCAGCCUAGGCAACAGAGCAUGACACUGUCUUGAAAAAUAAAUAAAUAAAUAAAUAAAUAAAAUAAAUAUAUAUAUAUACACAUAAAAUAACGGAAAGUGAUUUCUUUUACCAAUUUUAUAUAUAUACAUAAAAUCAUUGGUAUAUAUAUAAAAUAACUGGUAUAUAUAAUUAGUAAAAGAAAUCACUUUCCAUUAUGAUAUACUGAUUCAAUGGAUGCCAGAACUCCUUGAGCUGAAGCCUAAGGGCUUAGUUCAUUAGACAGAUGUUUCCAGGCUUCUCCAAGCCCUGGCUAGAUAGGAUCCACAAGCAGAUCAACUUUAUCUUUUAGACCUAAGUUCUCAGCCUAGAAGACAGAGGAGUAAUAUUUUAAAAUAUACCUUGAAAGUUUUUAUCAACGUUUUACAAUUAGGCCAGUAAAGAUUGGGUUAGCCAAAGGCACCUCCUCUCUUUAAGGCUCCAAGUUCUGUUUAGGAAAUGAAGGUGUCGGGACCU
rnacentral:lncRNA from 1 species